rnacentral:rRNA from 1 species
UACGUAGGGACCAAGCGUUGUUCGGAUUUACUGGGCGUAAAGGGCGCGUAGGCGGCAAUUCAAGUCACUUGUGAAUCUCCGAGCUUAACUCGGAACGGUCAAGUGAUACUGCUUUGCUAGAGUGCAGAAGGGGCAACCGGAAUUCUUGGUGUAGCGGUGAAAUGCGUAGAUAUCAAGAGGAACACCGGAGGUGAAGACGGGUUGCUGGGCUGACACUGACGCUGAGGCGCGAAAGCUAGGGUAGCAAACGGG